GGGGCUGAUUCUGGAUUCGACGGGAUUUGCGAAACCCAAGGUGCAUGCCGAGGGGCGGUUGGCCUCGUAAAAAGCCGCAAAAAAUAGUCGCAAACGACGAAAACUACGCUUUAGCAGCUUAAUAACCUGCUUAGAGCCCUCUCUCCCUAGCCUCCGCUCUUAGGACGGGGAUCAAGAGAGGUCAAACCCAAAAGAGAUCGCGUGGAAGCCCUGCCUGGGGUUGAAGCGUUAAAACUUAAUCAGGCUAGUUUGUUAGUGGCGUGUCCGUCCGCAGCUGGCAAGCGAAUGUAACGACUGACUAAGCAUGUAGUACCGAGGAUGUAGGAAUUUCGGACGCGGGUUCAACUCCCGCCAGCUCCACCA
rnacentral:tmRNA from 1 species